GUGAAUAAACUGACUUCUCCUUAAGUGGUUUGAGGUUAAUAAAAAAUUGUGGAAAACACUUUCAUAAACUUUUCUUAAAGAUUAAAUAAUUAAUUGGAUAAAAGUGUUGGAAGAAGCUUAUAUGAACCUACCUGAGAACAGAGGGCUUAACAAGCAUUCAAACAGGCAUAUUUGACAGAGCUGACUUGAUAAUGGACUGCAAAUGAAUUUUAGAAUGACUUUGACACCGUGAAGCACUCAGGGAAAACUGAACUGCAGAUUUCCUUGGUAUGGAACAAAGAAUAGCCUUCAUCUCAGACCAAGCAAUUCAUCUGAGAUCAAGAAUAAAGAACCAGCAAAACAUAAAGUAUCAUGGAGUAAAUAGGAUGACGAAAUAUGUGUUUAUAAUCAAAGGUCUGAAUGAACUGCAUUCCAUCCUAUGGUCUUUAUAGGUGGCUAACAAUGUGUUAAAAGAAGAAACCAGCAGAACAAUAUGCAAUAUAUGUCACAGAAUCCACUAAAAAGAACACUUCUCAUUCAAAGCACACAGGUCAGGCUCACCUAACAUCCUGAUUCCAGGGCCUGGAGGGAAAAGUCAGGUUUUAAUGCCUUCCUAAAGCCUAAUGGGGGCAAGGCCAUAUGAAUCUCAGGGGGAAUGCCCACUUUGUCAAGGUACUGUGAGAUAAGCAAACACAGUUGGAAAUAAGCAGUUCCUCAGAUAACCUGGUCCUGGGCAAUGUAGGGCUUUAUAGGUGAUGUUCUGAAUAUGUGUAUAAUUUCCCUCCCAAAUAUGGGGGAUGGGAGAAUCUAAUUUGAAUUUUGUUUCUGAAGGAAAUUGUUGUCAUUGUUAUUACACCUUUGCAUUUCUUUCUGAUACUAGAAACAGUCUUUCUAGUCAGUGCAGUUUUAUGGGAGGAUGUAAAGUGAAAUGUAUUGUUUAAGGGCUGGGAGAAGGAGAAGGAGAAGAUGUUAAAAGGCUGAAUACUACCUCCUUUGGACAUCUCAGAACAUAUUAAGCUCCUGCUCAACCAUGAAAGUGUUGGCAUUAUUCUUCCUUUCUUCCACUCAAAAACAGAGCAAUAAAAAUGAAUAUGUCUCUGUAGGGAUAAGUAUUACAGUAAAAAUGGUAGGGAGAGUUUUCUACAGCAUUAUAUGAAGUAUAAAGAUCUCAAAAAGCUAAGCAGUAUCAGACAUGGUUGUUACUUGUAUGGUAGACCACCAGGAAAUUCCAAGGUUGUAAGCUAGACUGGAAAAUAAAAUAAAAUAUCCCAAAGCAAGGCAAUGGCAGACUGUUUCCAUAUUGUUGCCUCCUUCCCUCCAAACUAACUGAAACUGUCCAUAAAGAUGCAUGGAAAAAACAUGUAAUGGCUGCUUGUUCUGGUCAGUGUAUAUUGUCUCCAAUAUUAGAGGCAGUAUGCUGCUGAAUAUCACUUGCUGGGGAAAAUGCCUUGGAGGGAAGUAUUACAUUCAACCACUUAUGGAUUUUCCGUAAGUGUGAAAGCAGGUGGCCAUUGUUGUAACAGAAUGUUAGAUUAAGAUUUAAUAGAAUGUUAGAUUACUGUCUUCAGAAUAAAGAAAGCAGAGUUAGGUUGCCAUAUCACAAGCUCUUGCCUUUUUGGGUGCCAUGUGAUGUCAUACAAAAGGGUCAGGGCUUGUGCCACAAUGAUACAAUGCUAUUUUUGUCAGACUAAUUUUGUUUGACCCGCCCAACCUUGGGAAUGCUUCUGUUGCCCAAAACCACAAGUUGGGUUUUUAAAGAAGAUUACUUAGAUGACCUUGGGGUACAUCACGCUAAUACAGUUCCUGAUGGAUCUCGGUAGGAACAGUGACGAAAAGUGAUUGAUAUGGCAACUCCAGAAGAAAAUAAAUAGAUAGAUAGAUAGAUAGAUAGAUAGAUAGAUAGAUAGAUAGAUAGAUAGAUAAGCAAGCAAGCAAGCAAGCAAGCAAGCAAGCAAGCAAGCAUGCAAGCAAGCUCCAUUAGCCAUUUUCAGUAUAAAGCAUCAUAGCUGAAUUCUCUUGAGCCACAUCAUGCUGUUCCAUUUACUUUAAAAAUUUAGACUCAGCCUAUUGACCAGCAAAAUAAUAGCAGCUACAAUUAUUAGCCCAAAGGAAGAUGGUUUUCUCUCUGUAUAAUUACCUUUGUGGGAGAGGACCAAGUUCUAUUUGCAGGUAGAGGCAGAUGCUAUUUAAAGAAGCAGAUAUUGUUGAAAGAGAGAGGACAUUGCUCCCUCACUGUGGGUGAGAAGUCCAGGAAAAUGGGUGGACUGAAAGUCCGAAGCAAUUAUUUAUUGAUUUGAUUUAGGUGCUGCCUGACUCCCAAAUGAUUCUGGGUGGCUCAUGAUAUAACUAAAGAGAAUUAAAAAUCAAAUAACACAUGACAAGAUAAAUAAGCAAGGUGGAAAUCCAGCCACUCAGCAAAACAAACAAACAAACAUACAAAUAAAUAUACAAACUACAAAACAGAUCCCCACCCUAGCCCAUGGCCUGGGAGAACAGCCAGGUCUUUAAAUUCUUCAGGAACAUCAUCAAGGUGGGAGCCAUGUGGAUCUCAGGGAGGACCUUGUUCCAGAGUGCAGGUGUGGUGACAGAAAAGGGGCACUUUCUUUAAUAAUAGCCGCUUCACUUCCUCUCCUGGCUUAUAGCAGACACACACUGACAUGGAGAAAGUGUCCAUUCUAAUCCAUAAAGGGUAAAAGUACACCAGGCAAAUAAUUUGGAAUGAGCUAGUGAGGGAGGCCUGAGACUCAUGCCUGCUGCUGGCCCAAUGAAUUUUAAGAGAUUUUGCAGUUCCUAGACUUACCCUACCCUACCCUACAAUUCCUUUCACCUCAGCUCCAUUCAGUUUUAUUCCCCAUCUCUUUCUCCUUGUUCCCUUCCUACUGCAACUGCCUUUUCCACUUCCUUUAUCUCUGUUCCUUCCCUCCCUCCCUUCCUUCAACGUUGGAAAGAGAGAAAGGAAUGCAUGUGAGUGUGUGUGCAUUGGUGUGUGACAAAGCAGUUUUUGUGUACAUGUGGAUGGAAGGGUUCAUUAAUUUUAUACAUAUGUACUUUGUCUUUACAGGGACAGAACUUUAAUCAGAAGCAAUUAGUUCCAUUGAAGUUAUUUUAUCUACUUUGCCCAUCCUACCAUUUUUGGAGUGGUCCUUUUGGCCAAUGCAUAUAUACACCCAGACAUAUAUGUGUGUAACAGAAUAUGAGAAUAACUUUGGAAGAUGGGGGGAAGAGAAGCUGCCUAGGGAAUGAUCAGAUACAAGGGGGAGGAGCCUGCAACUGAGUAAUGGGCAGAGAAAGAAACUUAGAAAAGGAUCUGUCCUAAAAAGGGAGGGCAGGAGAUCUGUACUUUCAGACUUGCAAGAUUCUGUUAAUGAAGCCUAACAAUUAAUUAGAAGUAGCUCAUCUGGUCAUGUCUCCUGUCUGGUUUACCUGGGAAUGCUGACAAUGUGCACACAAAUGGAGGCUCAUGCCAGGAGUGGUUACAGUGCAAGUUGACAAGGAUGAGGAAGCUUUGUCACUGUAAUGGAUUUUGUUUCUAUUUAUAUAUUAAACCAUUUACUGGACCUCAUUUAGUGGAUUUUAGUUGCAACAGACUGAUUUUCCAUUUGGAGACUACUCACUUUUAACAGACAGAAGUUGCAUUCAAAGUCAUCCAGACACUUUUAUUUUUGUCAAUGUCCAUAAUUUGCAUCAUAAUAUAAUGACACAAAGUCAUUUGUGUCCUGAUGCAAACAAUAAAAUUGACAUGUGUAUUUUCAGAUUUAAUGGACACCCUCUAAACAUGAAUGGUCAGUUAAACUGAGAGUUUAUUGUAUAUAUUUUUGUACUGUCUACCUUUGGGAGGGAUUAUAUUAAAUUUGGAGUUCUCUUUAAUUCAGGUAAAAAGUGGGAUACAUCUAUUAUUUACUGAAACAAAUUCUAAAUCAGAACUGCCUUCUGGUUUUCAGAAAGUGAAGAUGGUAUUUUAAACACACAAGUAAGAACUGUAGUUGAUGCAUGAAUCUAUAAACCUCCCACCGCCACCCCUCCCAAUUUUAAUAAUGAACUCUCUCACUGCAAGGAGAGAAUGCGGCCUUGACAGAAACAUGCAUGUGGGGAGUUUAUUAAGUUACUGUAAAAUGUCAGUUGAGGAAGCUGAGAUGUCAUGUAAGUGACAACUGGCAGCAAAUCAGCCUAUUGAGUUAUACUGUAUAGGGGAUAGAGGAAAUGAUGUGCAAGAGAAUAAAGUGGUGAUCGUGGAAUGACAAAGCAGUAGAAUGUGAAUUCAUAACUGCUGGGAACACAAUAGAGUUCUGAAGCUCUAUAGGGUAAAUAGAAGCCAUGCAAACUUUUCUACAACCAUUCUACAUUAAUUGAACUUAAUUGGCAUGUUAACUCUGAAUCUAUGCAAAACAUCAGCUUCAGGGGAAAAAAAUAUGUUGUGUUGGGAAUCUUUAUGUUAAAAUGGUUAGGUCCUACAAGUUUGAAAACAACGCAUGCCAAAUUACUGGAGAAUCAGGUGCCAAAUGAUAAAUACUCCAGACAAGUAAAAAGAGAUGAAUAGAAUGCUGAGGCCAAUCUCUGAAGAUAAAAGUUUCCACCUACUCCCCAACCUUUUCAUUUGUUUAAAUGAUUCAUUCAUUCAAACUUUAACAACAUAUUCUGACAGCUAUUGUCAGUAUCUUGGGGUGAAUGAUACUUUAAUAUCUUCUCCAUAUGAUACUGUUCCUGGGAACAUAUUCCUGUGGAGAACAGUAAUAUGUGAACUAGAGUAUCCAUGGAUAUAGAUGCAAUGAUCAGAAUGAUUGCAAACUAUGCUAACAAAAUCACCAGAGAGGAAGCUGCAACAAUAUCUAUGGCUACAUUCCACCUUGUUCAUGUGAAUGCAAUUACUGUAAUCCAUCACAACUUUCUUCCUCAUUCCUGCCACCUUAUAUGGUGUGUCUCACUAGCCUGUCUCAAGAGCUGUCCACUAAAUCAAAGAGCAAGGGAUUCUGAAGAACAUAGGAGUUGUCCGACAAUGUACCAGAAGGUCACAGCAAGGGUAGAUAUUGCUUCAACAGUGGGUCAGCGCAUUGACUUCUGGUGGGACUAUGGCGGACUGAGCAGCUGUGCCCACAAGCUCCGCGGGCAAAAGUGGCAUCGUGGCAGUUUCUUUGGGCUCAGGCUGGUUUCUCCUGUAGCCCAGAGUGUUUUUCCGGAUUAAGGAAACACUUGGAAUUGACCCAUUUGUCCUCUGGAUGGCGAGUUACAGCCAAGAGAUCGUGGACAGCAUGUGUGAUUGACAGGCAAGGCUUUGCCAGGAGGCUGGGAUUUCAUCUUUUCCAAGCCACACUGAAGCCCUUAAAGAGACAUUAAGUCCAGCCACCCCAUUUCUAAAGCACCCAAUUUAUUUUUUUUUAAGCAUCUGUAUCCUAAGAGAGGUUUUCUACAUUAAGGAGAAAUUAUCUCUCUUGGUACUUAUUAUUAUUUUUGUGAUUAUUUUUUUUUAAUUUUUAAAGCUUUGGAUUUUGCUGUCCAUCCUAAGGAGGAUUGAGAGUAUGUUAUCAUCUCCCUAUUAUUAUUUCUGUGCUAAUUUGGAAGACUUUGGCAUUUUUCCUACACAUUGAAUCUGCCAUUCUGAACUUUUACUUUCCUUCUGCUACUUUCCCUGGGAACUGUCUGUUAUCUCAUCUUAACUCAGUUCAGAAAUUUUCCAUUGACUCUCAUUUUUGCCAGUUAAGUAUCUAAUGGGCGCCAUAACUUACUGCUUCAGAAGUGGAGGAUCUUAGCCAGGCUUUUGCUGACUGUCGCCGAGAUAUCAAAGCAGAAAUUAGGCAGACUCUUUCUGAUUCCUGCCAUGUUAUUCUGCCAGACAUUUGGAGCAUUGUGGAAAAUAUGUGGUCUGAAAUGUGCCAUCUGGUUGGGGAUGAUGUGGAUGAACCUGAAGAAUCUAACAGCAAUGGAAUUAUCUCUCCUAAGAGUUAGAUUUGGGCUUGUGUUGAGAUCCUGGAUGAAAUUGGCGACGCUGAACUGAGGAACUUAAAUGGAGAAAUUGAGCUGCAAGGCAUGAGUGCAUUUGGCUUUUUGAAGGAAUGUUAUGGAAAAGAAAUGGGUUAUUAUGUAUGGGAGGUUUUCUGGAGAGAAGUCUGUGUUUGUGAGGGGAGCAGUUGGGCUGUUUGAUUUAAGAAAAUAGCUCUGUGCAUAUUAUGGGGAUAUGUAAAUGUCUUGGUCUAUUUUGAAGUGGGUUAAGGGACUAAAAUAUUUAUUUGGAUGGUCUUAUGGUUUUGGACGACUUUACUUAUUGUUAAUGAUUGGGAUUAUGAUUAUUAAGGUUUUUUCUUAUUCAUGUUUUUGUAUUCAUGCUUUUUGUAUUAUUAAUUAUAAUAGUAGACAAUUUACAUGCUUUUUUAUUUUUUAUUUUUAUUAAGGUAGACAGGAAUGUAUAGAAUAGUAGUAGGAAGGGGAUAAUUGUUACUUUUGGGGGAAAGUUGAUCAGGUGAUUUAUAUUUUUUUCUUUUCUUUUAAUAUAAAGGAAGGGAGAAAUGGUACUUAGUGAUUUUCACAAUGUGCUAAGGGAUUGAUUUGUAGAAAUAAUGUUAUUUUGGUUUAAUAUAGAGUAAGGGAUUGAUUAUGGGAAAUUGCUGUAUAUCCUUGAUGUUUAAAGUCAGAAGUCACUUCUUUUUGUAAUCUAUCUAAAAAAUUUUCUCUUGUGUGUUCACACUUUUAGUUUUUUUCUUGUUGUGGUUU